CCUACGGGAGGCUGCAGUGGGGAAUAUUGCACACUGGGCGCAAGCCUGAUGCAGCCAUGCCGCGUGUGUGAAGAAGGCCUUCGGGUUGUAAAGCACUUUCAGCGGGGAGGAAGGCGGUGAGGUUAAUAACCUCAUCGAUUGACGUUACCCGCAGAAGAAGCACCGGCUAACUCCGUGCCAGCAGCCGCGGUAAUACGGAGGGUGCAGGCGUUAAUCGGAAUUACUGGGCGUAAAGCGCACGCAGGCGGUCUGUCAAGUCGGAUGUGAAAUCCCCGGGCUCAACCUGGGAACUGCAUUCGAAACUGGCAGGCUAGAGUCUUGUAGAGGGGGGUAGAAUUCCAGGUGUAGCGGUGAAAUGCGUAGAGAUCUGGAGGAAUACCGGUGGCGAAGGCGGCCCCCUGGACAAAGACUGACGCUCAGGUGCGAAAGCGUGGGGAGCAGACAGGAUUAGAUACCCCUGUAGUC
rnacentral:rRNA from 1 species